AUUAAUCCACCACGUACCCACAUGUAUACAAAUGUAUGUAUAUAAGCAAGCUUAUAUAUAAGUAUUGAAAGUCCAGAAAUACAAUUAUACAAGCGUCCUAUAUAUAAUUUUGAACCUAGCUAGCUAGCUACCUCUCUCUCACUUAUUUGUUCAACAUGGUUUCAAGGGUGGUAUUUAUUUCCAUCUUUUGUUUUCUUCUUAUUUCUCUCUUUUUGAGCUCUAAAUCCGAAGCACGCAAGCUUAUUGACCAGUCGGAAGAGAUGCUUAUGAAAUCUUCCUCUUCCUCUUCCUCUUCCUCUUCCUCUUCAUCAAUUAAUGAAAAUUCAGAGUCAAACAUUAGUACAGAUGACCUUCCUUCUUAUGAAGAUGAGUCUGGUCCAAGUCCUGGUGUGGGACACUAAUAUGGGCAUUUAGCUAGCUAGUAAUUUGAUUAAGAAUAUAUAUAUAUAUAUAUAUAUAUAUAUAUAUAUAUAUAUAUAUAUAUGUAUGUACGUGUGUGUGUGUGUAUUCAUAUGCAUGUGACGUGUGAUAUUUUGUGUCACAUAUAUUUACGUAUUAUUAUGUUGAAAUGGUGAGUUGUCUAGUUUACAUAUUAUACGAGAACAAAUUAAAGUAGUGCAUUGUCACAUAUAUAUAUAGAGUACUAGCUACUCAAAUUAAAAAUUAAUGUUGCAAUUCACAAAAUGAUGUAUAGAAUAUUUGAGAUCGAUUGCAUAUAUGCAGCUAGCUAGCACUAUAGGUUUGAUUUGUAGAUUUGAUGAUAAAUUAAAGUUUGUACGCAAACAUGUUGUAUUUUUAUUCCUGCAUGCUAAUGAAAGAAUAUAUAUAUAUUAGUGUUUGCCAUGUAAAUUAAUAUAAUCCAUAAUUAGAUGGCUUGCCGC
rnacentral:lncRNA from 1 species